UACGUAGGGGGCAAGCGUUGUCCGGAAUCAUUGGGCGUAAAGAGCGUGUAGGCGGCCCGAUAAGUCCGCUGUGAAAGUCCAGGGCUCAACCCUGGAAUGCCGGUGGAUACUGUCGGGCUCGAAUCCGGAAGAGGUGAGUGGAAUUCCUGGUGUAGCGGUGAAAUGCGCAGAUAUCGGGAGGAACACCUAUGGCGAAGGCAGCUCGCUGGGACGUUACUGACGCUGAGACGCGAAAGCGUGGGGAGCAAACAGG
rnacentral:rRNA from 1 species